UUUUUUUGAGAAGGAGGUGGAAGAUGGCAUUUGUAUACACAAAUAUAUCCAUACACAUACUCAGGCUAACACAAUAUGUUAUCACUCUUUUGUGUUAUAAACACAUUAUCAUGGUAACUGAAGACGAAAUUUUUUGUAAGAACCUGCCUAUUCUUUCUAAACAUGACAAUUUUCAGAUUCCCCCUCAGAUUUAUCCUGCAGUUCUUGGUCUCUUCAGUGAAAUAUGUUUAAAGUCUUAUUCAUACCUCCCUGGAGCUGCACACUGGUGUGCGCCGUCAUGUAAACUGCACAGCCUGGGUACCAGAGCAGAUGCUUCUACACUGGCUGUUCGUGUGGAAGACAGUUUUGCUACGAGUUGAAGAGACCAGAUUCACACAUCUUUCUGAUUGCACAUAUAUGUCUAAGUUUGUUUUUUAUAAAAUUGAAAUGCUGGAAUGGUUCUCAAAGAACUUCUAGUACUGGAAACAUAUUCUUACGAGUGUGGCAGCUGACGCAUUUCUCUUUUAUUCCAUGAGACCCCUUUAUAUAGGCAUGAAGAGGAUUUCUCAGAAUACAGGUCACAGGAUGACAGAGAAUAACAUUCAUCCACAUAUUCUCUAAUUCCUUCUUGGAAAAAGAUUCAUGAUUUAAGAAAAUUUGGCUUAUGAACACAACAGGGAAAACAGGUAAGUCCUGUUGUUGUAUAAUUGCUGUAUAAUAUCAUUACAUUGCCGAAACUUUGUUUUCUUCCUUUCAAAUAUAUGUUCCACUUCUCAAACAUGUUUUCAGAAGUGACAACUCAAGUAACACUGAGAUUGACAGUCUGGUUUGUAAUCCAAACAGAAAAAAAUUUUUUUAGCCAGUGUUCAACAUUAAGCUUUGAGAUUUUGCCUUUAAUUUUCUUAAAAAGAGUUAUCAUGAGCUGGCAGUCUUGUGACAAGCCCUGAGCAGCAAAGAGGACUGACACCAUCCUGCACAGCAAUGCAAGUCCACAGAAGCAGGUGAAUUCACAGAUCUGCUUUGGAUACUUAUCAGCCUGGACUAUUCACGUCACACACUCACACAUGAUGUCUUCAGGCAGAAGCUUGUCUAUUAUUUACUUUCUAUUGUCUUCUGUUUAAAUGUAUGAUACUCUCACUGCCCCAAAAUUGCUGUUUACAUACUUUUAAGAAGAUUUUGCUAGGAAUAAAAAUAAUUACUGUUCCAACUUGAUUGAUUAAGUUCUAUAGAGCUAACUAAAUUCCGUUGAUAGGGUUGUCAGCUGCAUGUUUUGCGAACUGAUAACAGAGUCAAAAUACAGAAUAAAUAACCAGUGAGCAAUUUCCCAGGUCAGUUCUGAUAGUCUUCUCCCUUCACUCUUCAUUACUCUGAACAAUAUUUUAGAUCAUGAUCUCACCUUUUUCAGCUGCAUUUGUAAAUCGGGUAUAGCUUUGACUGCACACCAAGAAGCAAUAUUUUGUGAGUUUUACACUCUACUUUUUGCAGAGAAGUUGAUUACUUGAGGUGAGUAGUGGUGGCAGAAUAGCACUAAUCUGAAAAUGUGGUGAUGGUAUUUCUUUACUCAGAAGAGCAAUUCUGAUGAAAUUAUUUUUAUUUAUUUAUUUUUAUGUGCUCCAUCGGCUUCAGCUGCCAUCUAAUAGACUUUGGAAAUAGGAGUUGUCAAAUGAAGAAUCUGAGCAAUUUCCUGUAAUUAUAUGUCAGCUUAAAAUGGUGGAAGAGUAAAUAGCAGAAACGGUCAAAGCAAAAUGUGCCAACUUUUAGACUAAAGCAGGACUCAAAAGACAGCCUCAGAUUAUUGUUGUCUGCAGAGAGUGAGGACAUACUGUUCUUGUUUUGAUAAUGAUUCUUGGAAAUGGGUUAUUUGUAGCAACAUGAAAGCCUUUUAUCUUGGAAAUUAAGAAGCUGGUGGAAGAGUUUAUAAAAAAAUAGCUUUGGGCAGUAAACUAAGUAAGUGUGAAAGUAGUAUCUUAAAUGAUUGUAGGAACUGAAAACAUGUCAUUGCCUAUCAAAUGUUUGAAAACGGGAGCCCGGAUAAGGAGAUAUUGAAAUCCACACUCAAUCCAAUACAAAAGAUCUACAGAACCUAGGAAUCAGUUUCCAUUCACUUUACAUUGUUGUGAAUACCAAUUUGUGAUAAAGACCAUUCCUGCUGAUUUAAAUAUUUUAUUUUACUUUAUUUUAUUUUGUCAAACACUUAGAAAUUACACAGUGCUGGCUCAGACCUGUAUCAUGGAUUUUAUGCUUCUAAGAACAUCCUAUUGGAGCUUCGAGGCAGAAGAAGUUUUGAGUUGGAGAAACCUUGUCAUAUUAGGCGAAGCUGUUGGACAGCUGCUUCAGCAGCAGCGAUGGCUGCCCCAGCGUCUUCAAGGUGGGUUUGAGUGACGCUGGUUUUGCUUUG